rnacentral:rRNA from 1 species
UUUGAAAUCUGACUUUCGGGUCCGACUUGUAAUCUGUAGAUGAGUCUUUUGGCGGAGCGCCGUCCAAGUUCCCUGGAACGGGACGCCGGAGAGGGUGAGAGCCCCGUACCGACGUGCGCCGAGUCUUUGCAAAGCUCAUUCGAAGAGUCGAGUAGUUUGGAAAUGCUGCUCUAAUUGUGGGGUAAAUCUCCCAUAAGGCUAAAUACUGGCCAGAGACCGAUAGCGCACAAGUAGCGUGAGCGAAAGAUGAAAAGAGCCUUGAACAAGGGCGUCAAAAAGCAUGUGAAAUUGUUAUGGGGGAAGCGCUCAAUGCCAGACGUGGCGACGGUUGGUUACCCGGCGUUCUUCGCCGGCGCACUCUGCCGCCGCCAGGCCAGCAUCAGUUCGGUCCGGGGCUUACUUCCGCUCGGAACGUGGCUCUUCGGAGUGUUAUAGCCUUGCGGCAACGCCCUGGGCCGGACUGAGGAACGCGCAUCUGCUCGGAUGCUGGCGUAAUGGCUUUUAGCGACCCGUCUUGAAACACGGACCAAGGAGUUGACCUAGUAUGCGAGUGUUUGGGUGUAAAGCCCUCACGCGCAGUGAAAGCGAACGCAGGUGGGAGCUUCGGCGCACCAUCGACCGAUCCUGAAGUUUACGGAUGGAUUUGAGUAGGAGCAUGCUGGGUCUGACCCGAAAGAAGGUGAACUAUGCAUGAAUAGGGUGAAGCCAGAGGAAACUCUGGUGGAGGCUCGCAGCGGUUCUGACGUGCAAAUCGAUCGUCAAAUUUGUGCAUGGGGGCGAAAGACAAUCGAACCUUCUAGUAGCUGGUUCCUGCCGAAGUUU